GAGGAGCUUGCUUCUCUGAUCAGUGGCGAACGGGUGAGUAACACGUGAGCAAUCUGCCCUUGACUCUGGGAUAAGCGUUGGAAACGACGUCUAAUACCGGAUACGACCCUUGGAGGCAUCUCUGGGGGUGGAAAGAAUUUUGGUCAAGGAUGAGCUCGCGGCCUAUCAGCUAGUUGGUGAGGUAAUGGCUCACCAAGGCGACGACGGGUAGCCGGCCUGAGAGGGUGACCGGCCACACUGGGACUGAGACACGGCCCAGACUCCUACGGGAGGCAGCAGUGGGGAAUAUUGCACAAUGGGCGAAAGCCUGAUGCAGCAACGCCGCGUGAGGGACGACGGCCUUCGGGUUGUAAACCUCUUUUAGUAGGGAAGAAGCGAAAGUGACGGUACCUGCAGAAAAAGCACCGGCUAACUACGUGCCAGCAGCCGCGGUAAUACGUAGGGUGCAAGCGUUGUCCGGAAUUAUUGGGCGUAAAGAGCUCGUAGGCGGUUUGUCGCGUCUGCUGUGAAAACCCGAGGCUCAACCUCGGGCCUGCAGUGGGUACGGGCAGACUAGAGUGCGGUAGGGGAGAUUGGAAUUCCUGGUGUAGCGGUGGAAUGCGCAGAUAUCAGGAGGAACACCAAUGGCGAAGGCAGAUCUCUGGGCCGUAACUGACGCUGAGGAGCGAAAGCAUGGGGAGCGAACAGGAUUAGAUACCCUGGUAGUCCAUGCCGUAAACGUUGGGAACUAGAUGUGGGGACCAUUCCACGGUCUCCGUGUCGCAGCUAACGCAUUAAGUUCCCCGCCUGGGGAGUACGGCCGCAAGGCUAAAACUCAAAGGAAUUGACGGGGGCCCGCACAAGCGGCGGAGCAUGCGGAUUAAUUCGAUGCAACGCGAAGAACCUUACCAAGGCUUGACAUAUAGAGGAAACGUCUGGAAACAGUCGCCCCGCAAGGUCUCUAUACAGGUGGUGCAUGGUUGUCGUCAGCUCGUGUCGUGAGAUGUUGGGUUAAGUCCCGCAACGAGCGCAACCCUCGUCCUAUGUUGCCAGCACGUAAUGGUGGGAACUCAUGGGAUACUGCCGGGGUCAACUCGGAGGAAGGUGGGGAUGACGUCAAAUCAUCAUGCCCCUUAUGUCUUGGGCUUCACGCAUGCUACAAUGGCCGGUACAAAGGGCUGCAAUACCGCAAGGUGGAGCGAAUCCCAAAAAGCCGGUCUCAGUUCGGAUUGAGGUCUGCAACUCGACCUCAUGAAGUCGGAGUCGCUAGUAAUCGCAGAUCAGCAACGCUGCG
rnacentral:rRNA from 1 species